CCUACGGGAGGCAGCAGUGAGGAAUAUUGGUCAAUGGGCGCGAGCCUGAACCAGCCAAGUAGCGUGAAGGAUGACUGCCCUACGGGUUGUAAACUUCUUUUAUAAAGGAAUAAAGUGAGGCACGUGUGCCUUUUUGUAUGUACUUUAUGAAUAAGGAUCGGCUAACUCCGUGCCAGCAGCCGCGGUAAUACGGAGGAUCCGAGCGUUAUCCGGAUUUAUUGGGUUUAAAGGGAGCGUAGGGGGGUUGUUAAGUCAGUUGUUAAAGUUUGCGGCUCAAACGUAAAAUUGCAAUUGAUACUGGCGGUAUUGAGUGCAGUGGAGGUAGGGGGAAUUGGGGGGGGAGCGGUGAAAGGCAUAGAUAUCACGAAGAACUCCGAUUGCGAAGGCAGCAUACUA
rnacentral:rRNA from 1 species